rnacentral:lncRNA from 1 species
ACAAGUCUAUGUUAAGGUAUGGGAGUUAAGAUCACCUUAUCGCUAAGACUGUCACAAGUCUAUGUUAAGGUAUGGGAGUUACGAUCACCUUAGCGCUAAGAUUGCUUUGCACAACAGCACCCUGAACACUGGCUUACAACUUCAGUGAAUCUCUCCGGAAUGCAGAUUAACUUUAGUUGUAUGAAGAAUUCAUAUGUUUGAAAUCUUUAGAGUAUUAUAUACAAGUAUUGAAAGGUUAGGUUUAUUCAAGUGAAUACCAAAAUAUACAGGAUAACAUCUCUUUGAACUACUGAUGGUGUGCCUGGUUAAUGUUUUUGUUGAUGUUUUUCAUUACUUAUUACACUUGUUUAGUUGAUACUCAUGUAUAUGUGUUAAAUGCUCUAGGUUACUUGAUUAAGAUGUCAAAAAUGUUCAGAUACCAUGUAGAGUUUUACUAUAUCUUUCGUCCCACGGUAUGGCAGAAUGUACUUAUUAUAUAAUAUUCAAAUUGUGUUAGCAGAGCUAGACCUUUGAAAGUGUUUAUUAAUCUGUGUAUCAUGUUUUAAAGAACAUUUUUGGGGUUGGGGAAACAACUUUCGAAAAUAUGGGAGUGUGUAUGUGGUCCCAGCUGUGUGCAGCUGUAGUGUGUAUGUGGUCUCGGCUGUAGUGUGUGUAUGUGGUCCCAGCUGUAGUGUGUAUGUGGUCCCAGCUGUGUGCAGCUGUAGUGUGUAUGGGGUCUCGCUGUAGUGUGUGUAUGGGGUCCCAGCUGUAGUGUGUAUGUGGUCUCAGCUGUGUGCAGCUGUAGUGUGUAUGUGGUUCCAGCUGUAGUGAGUGUGGUCCGAGCUGUAGUGUGUAUGUGGUCGCAGCUGUAGUGUGUAUGUGGUCUCGGCUGAAGUGUGUAUGUGUGUGUAUGUGGUCCGCGGCUGUAGUGUGUAUGUGGUCUCGGCUGUAGUGUGUAUGUGGUUCCAGCUGUAGUGUGUAUGUGGUUCCAGCUGUAGUGUGUAUGUGGUCUCAGCUGUAGUGUGUGUGUAUGUGGUCUCAGCUGUGGUGUGUAUGUGGUCGCAGCUGUAGGCUACACAGUGUGUCCCAGCUGUGUAUAGGUGGAAUGAGAGAAUAUGGAUGUGUUUGACAUUUAUCUUAUCGGGAACCCCAUCAGUAUUCAUUGAAUGUCUGAACUGUGAUCUGUGCAUCUCUGAUCUACUAGUAUAUAUAGUCAUCUAGAAGUUCACUCCUCGUUCUUUUUUGGUCACAGUGUUUGAUGAUAUUUAUUAUUAAGCGUUUGGAUUCUGAGUCUUCUUUUAGCAAGAACCACUAGUUUUGUCAGCUAAAUUGUUCUCUGUAAGGUUGCAAACUGUUGCUUUCUGUUUACCAUUGGCUAUAGGUUUCAACCAAUGGAAAAUGCAAGUUCUGAUGCGGGAUACACGAUGUAUUUGAUGUUGUAGAAAUUCGUCCCGUGGUCAUUGCGGACGUUCACUUUGCUUAUUUAUGAUAUUUGACAUGUCUUUCAAGCAAAUCAGUCACUGCCAUGGUUUCCUGUUGUGAGGCCAUUUUACACGGUGGAAGUUUGGAGUAGGGGAAAUAAAAGUUCCCGAAAUUUGGAGGUUUUUUUUGGUUUUAGUUUUAUGGCCAGGUUUCAUUUUAGAAUUGGUACGAAAUACCAUAGGUGAUGGCAUUUUAGUUUAUAUGUAAAGAAUAUAAGACAAUUCUGAGGUCUUGGUCGUCAUAGUGAUGCCCAAGGGAAGUAAUGAUCAAGGUAGAAAGUCAGUAUUUGUCGUAAAAUAUACAAGGUUACUGUUGCCUGAAGGUUUUGCUGUGUCAAAGAGAAGAAAGGAGAGGUGUUUUAUCCAACUUGUUAACUAUCAAAACGUGAUGUAAUAAUAUUUGUUUAAUUCUGUGUAUAUUAUGAUUCUCUAAAGUAAUUCUUGUUGAAUAUAUGUGGCUUGGCAAUAUCUGCUAAACAAGAUGCCCUCUGGUGAAUGAACUAUCUUAACCAGCUCUGUGGGCUAAUGGUGACAGUGCUUGACUAUCGAUCAGGAGGUUCUAGGCUCGACUCUCGUCAUCCAUGAUAAAAAAGUUUCAUUUCUUGUCUUCGAUAUUAGAACUUUGUAGGGCUGAGACGGUAUACCGCGGUAUUAGUAGAACCGCAGUAUUUUGCCUUUGGCUUCGUAUACCAUAAUGUAAUCUCAAAAUUAAGCAUUUUCGGUUAUCAUACCAUUCCUUCUGUCAAGGGGGCAGUGGGGUAGCCUAGUGGUUAAAGCAUUCGUUCGUCAUGCCGAAGACCCGGGUUCAAUCCCCACAUGGGUACAAUGUGUGAAGCCCAUUUCUGGUGUCGCCCAAAAGCUAACAUUAUUUUUUCCAUGUUAUCAAACAUUGUCUGGUUUGGCUCUUGUAAAUUUUCUGCAUUGUGAUCAUAUUUCAUGUACUGAACCGAAACGGACCGAACCGAAGGCCCUGUAUCGCAAUAAGUACCGUACCAUGGUAAGAGCGUACCGUUUCACCUCUAUAACUUUUGACAUAGAGCUUUUGUGCCCAUCAAGACUUCAUAGUCAGUCUUGAUAUGCAGAAGUUAAAACAUACGUCGAAAGAGGUAUAAAGAAAGCAUAAUCCAUCUUACAUGUUACAAAAUUAGGUCUUGCCCAAUAUAGUUUUCAGUAUCAGUGAUAAGUUAUAUUUGAAUGUAAACCUGAAUACAAAUCCUACCUUGUUAGGAUGAGAAAGCCACAAUAACUCGGUGCGCCUAGUGGCUGCAAGAGUUGUAUACUCCCCAGGGAGUUGAGAUUGAUAAUACGAUGUGCCGUGCCGUGCUGUGGAGACUGACAUCCAAUGAUCGAGGGGAAAAAUACCAGCGCCUUGAGCAUGCACUAGUUGCCUGGAUAUGUGCACUAUAUAAUGCAUUAUCCUAUAAUAAUAAACGUCAGUUGCCAUUCAAAUCCUCAACACCUGUUCUUUGUGACAAGAGUGGAAGUAUACGUUCAAUUUUAGUUUCAUUCAUCUGUAAUUUUCAAGGAGGUAUUUGUUUAUAUACAGCUAAAAAAUUGGUAAGGAUCAAACUAGUCAUCUUUAGUGAAAGUUUCUUCAGCAAAGGUUGAGUGAUAUUUUAACAGAUCUUUUUUCUAAGCUACAUUUAGUGACCUGACCAGUGUGAGAUGGCCUGACAAGGGGAGACAACCAUCAUUCUUGUACACUGUUAUUGCCACUGAUAGGUUCAUAGUUCAUCAUGUUUCAUGUCUUUCAUUACAUACGCCCCUGUUCAUGUCGCCACCAUGGGUUUUUUCAGUUGGUCUGAUCAGUGUUAAUGAGAUAUGUAUUUCAAUUCCAUGUAUUCACUCAAGCUGUGUAUUUUGGAUCAGGUGUUAGUAAUUUUUUACUGGAUUUUUCUAUUGUGUUUCAUGUGAAGGAGAGUUUGUAAUUUGGGUAUUUGUUCCCUAGACCAGGUUUGUCAACUCACUGUAGAUAUUCUAGACAAAUCUACGUCAGUAAGAUAUGUAGCAAUGCUUCAGUGUCGGUUGUUACAGUUUCAUCAGUGAGAAGUAAAAUGAAUUUUGCUCUUUUUCCUGCAAUGAAUUGUUUAUUUUUCCUAUGUUUAGAACAUAGUUAUUUGUGUUUGGUUAGUUUGGGUUUGGAAAUUUCAACUUAUAUCAAGUAAAGGAUGAGUGUUUAUUGAGCAUCCAUGUGAUGGGCAGGGAGAAAGAUUUCCUUUCUUCGUAAGUGAACCUGUAGCAUUUUAGUGAUCUUCAGCGUCACAUUAAGUGAUGUUUUAGAUUGACUUAUGAUGAAAGUAAGCCAGAGAAAUCAUGGCCUGCCCAAGAUGUGCUAUGUUGAGUAUUAAUUGUACUGAGAAAUGGCAUAAAACUCUGACCUUGGUCACUCGAUGACAACAAUAACAGUAGCAAUUACAUUAAAGAAUUCAGUUUCAGAGUGAAAUGUAAUGAAGAUUAGCAACAAUACAAGUGUUAUAUUUUCUUAAUAUAUGAUUAUCAUUGGAUAUUUUUGGUUUGGGGUAUUUAAGCUUGGAAUUCAUUUUAUAGGUUAAUAAUUGUUUAUUGUCUCAAUUGAAAAACUAUAGGGGUGAUAAGUGACACAUUUAGGAAAUUCGGGGGAUUAAUACAUUCAAAAUCUCAUUUUCGUCUUUUGUAAUUUUAAUUUCCUCCAUGUAUAUUAUUCUUAUUGUACAUUGUAAAUAACACGCUUAUUGCCAGUGUUGUCGCAAAUCACUGGCCUUGUAUGAAUUUUGUAUAAAAAUGUGUAUAGAAAUUGACGAGUUGUAUAUAACAUUGUUGCUGCCUAUCUUUGGCAUGUCAUUGACACUGAUUUCCUCGCUGCCACUGGAACAUCGCUCCGUCAUUAAACUGUGUUGUUAAUAUCAUUGA